UCCAGGUGUGGCCUCUGGAACCUGACUCCGUUAGGACGAACAUCUGCCCCUUCAGGGAGGACCCCCGCGCACACCGGAACCUCUGGCAAGCCGCCCGGCUGCGACUGCUGACCCUGCAGAGCUGGCUGCUGGACGCACCGUGCUGGCUGCCCGCAGAAGCGGCACUGUGCUGGCGGGCUCCGGGUGGGGACCCCUGCCAGCCACUGGUCCCACCGCUUUCCUGGGAGAAUGUCACUGUGGACAAAGUUCUCGAGUUCCCAUUGCUGAAAGGCCACCCUAACCUCUGUGUUCAGGUGAACAGCUCGGAGAAGCUGCAGCUGCAGGAGUGCUUGUGGGCUGACUCCCUGGGGCCUCUCAAAGAUGAUGUGCUACUGUUGGAGACACGAGGCCCCCAGGACAACAGAUCCCUCUGUGCCUUGGAACCCAGUGGCUGUACUUCACUACCCAGCAAAGCCUCCACGAGGGCAGCUCGCCUUGGAGAGUACUUACUACAAGACCUGCAGUCAGGCCAGUGUCUGCAGCUAUGGGAUGAUGACUUGGGAGCACUAUGGGCCUGCCCCAUGGACAAAUACAUCCACAAGCGCUGGGCCCUCGUGUGGCUGGCCUGCCUACUCUUUGCCGCUGCGCUUUCCCUCAUCCUCCUUCUCAAAAAGGAUCACGCGAAAGCGGCCGCCAGGGGCCGCGCGGCUCUGCUCCUCUACUCAGCCGAUGACUCGGGCUUCGAGCGCCUGGUGGGCGCCCUGGCGUCGGCCCUGUGCCAGCUGCCGCUGCGCGUGGCCGUAGACCUGUGGAGCCGUCGUGAACUGAGCGCGCAGGGGCCCGUGGCUUGGUUUCACGCGCAGCGGCGCCAGACCCUGCAGGA
rnacentral:sRNA from 1 species